rnacentral:rRNA from 1 species
AUUGAACGCUGGCGGCAGGCUUAACACAUGCACGUCGAGCGAGCGGCGGCCGGGUGACUUAUGUCUGGGACCCUGCCUGUUGGUGGGGGAUAACUACUGGAAACUGUCGCUUAUCCCGCACACCCUCACCUGUUCCCAGAUGGGUUUAGCUAGUAGUUGGGGUAAUGGCUCACCUAGGCGACGAUCCCUAGCUGGUCUGAGAGGAUGACCAGCCACACUGGAACUGAGACACGGUCCAGACUCCUACGGGAGGCAGCAGUGGGGAAUAUUGCACAAUGGGCGCAAGCCUGAUGCAGCCAUGCCGCGUGUGUGAAGAAGGCCUUCGGGUUGUAAAGCACUUUCAGCGAGGAGGCGUUACUCGCAGAAGAAGCACCGGCUAACUCCGUGCCAGCCGCCGCGGUAAUUC